rnacentral:rRNA from 1 species
UACGUAGGGGGCAAGCGUUAUCCGGAUUUACUGGGUGUAAAGGGAGCGUAGACGGCACGGCAAGCCAGAUGUGAAAGCCCGGGGCUCAACCCCGGGACUGCAUUUGGAACUGCUGAGCUAGAGUGUCGGAGAGGCAAGCGGAAUUCCUAGUGUAGCGGUGAAAUGCGUAGAUAUUAGGAGGAACACCAGUGGCGAAGGCGGCUUGCUGGACGAUGACUGACGUUGAGGCUCGAAAGCGUGGGGAGCAAAC